CACGUAGGCACCAAGCGUUGUCCGGAUUUAUUGGGCGUAAAGAGCUCGUAGGCGGUUCAGUAAGUCGGGUGUGAAAACUUUGGGCUUAACCCAAAGCGUGCAUCCGAUACUGCUGUGACUUGAGUACGGUAGGGGAGCGGGGAAUUCCUAGUGUAGCGGUGAAAUGCGCAGAUAUUAGGAGGAACACCGGUGGCGAAGGCGCCGCUCUGGGCCGAAACUGACGCUGAGGCGCGAAAGCUAGGGGAGCAAACAGG
rnacentral:rRNA from 1 species